GAGUGAUUUAGGGAGCACUUUGUAGGUUUCCCCUAUUUACCUUUAGCCUUUUACCACAUCACCAAUGACCUCUUAUUUUCAUACUGUCUAUAGAAUUAAGUUAGUCUGCCCAAGAAGUCACUUUGUUUGACCCUGGUCCCAGUGCAUUCCCAAAUAUCAGGGAUUAUAUUCCCUUACUUUUACCUGGGCAUUGGAUGCCUCAUGUUCCCUUAUAUCAAACCUUAAAGGUAGCUUUUAGGCAGAAUCUGGUAGUGCUCUUGUGUCCUGAGGGUAGGACAAUAGAAGAAAAACUCAUUUGGCAUUAGACUUUUUCAUGGUGCUUAUUUGGAAGACCUUCUUCAUCUUCAGAAUAUUGAUCCAAGUCCUUUGGGGCCACUGCUACUGUCAGAGUUGUUUUGAGUUUGGCAGUACCUCUCCAGAGCCUCAAGGUAAGGGACAUGUGGUUUGAGAAGUGGAAUACAAGUCCAUAAUCUAUACAAUACUAGAGCUUAAUAGAUGAUUACUUUAUUACCUUGAUUAUACCCAUCAAUUUUUAGGUGUGAACAUUGAGAUCUGGGGUUGGGUGUAGGGUGGCUUGUGUGGGCUUCCCCAGGCUAGAUUGAAAACUCAAACAAACUGCAUAUACCCUUCUAUUACUUUUGUUUUUGGAGUUUAAGAAGUUUUAGAGUCUUGGCUUCUCAUUUAUUAUAUAACAAAAGGGAAAUAAAAAGUAGGAGUGGGAUAGUGUAUAGCUGGUAAACAUCUCCUGUAAUACAAGUGCUGAUGUUAUUGGGAAUUUUAUUUGAAAGUUUUUGGGAAGGGGAGAUAGUUAAGGGUAGGGCCCUGAGGGUUUGGGACAGGAGGGAAGGGAAGGGAUGGAGGAUCUAUCUGUAAUCUGUUUCAAAGAAGGAAAAACUGCAUAGUGCUUUGAAGAAAUUGGGCAUCAGUCCAAGAAGAAAUGUGAUGCCAGCAGCCAUCUUCACAUCACCCCCAAGCCUGUUCCCCUAUCUUGCUGGCAAGUCAUAGCCCUACUUUUACCCCCUUUUGCUGGUUUCAUGUAUUUUGAGGGUCAGCAAUUGUCCAUGCGCUGGGUGAGUUCAAACACUGUGUGAGGGACCACUUGGGUUUAGGACACGGGAACUAUGUGGAAGGGAUGGUUUCUUGUGAUAUGGGGCUGUGGUGUCUGUGUGAUGGGGAGCAUCAGAGAAGGUGUUUGGGGCAGCAUGGAGGGAAGGGUGCAUAUCCUGUAAGAAUCAGGGGACAGGGUUUCAUAACCUAUCAUGUGCCCAGAAAGUCAGGAAUGGCUGCAGUUCUAUUACCAAGCCCUGACAAGCAGCCAUUUUGGUUAUUAGCAGUGACUUUUAAAAGUUUCUCCUUUGCAACUUUACUAUUUCACUUUCAACCUGCUCAGUAUGUUGAAAAUGAAGUUUAUGGACUAUCUUUAUAUAAAAGUCGCAACUUGUAAUGCCUCCAUUAUUAUAUGCAGGCUUUCUCUUUGCCCCUUCCUUGGCUUCUAGUGCCGUGUUGGGGUUGAUGGGCCAGCCUGCGUCCUGUGAGUGUUUUCUGAAUACUUAUUAUUGUGUUCAAUUUUUUGAUUGAUGGGAGAGGGGCAGAGGGACUAAAAUGGGGAUUGGGCUGUGUAUAUUCCUAAAGUUUUCUUGUGGUUUUCACAUGUUCCAGAUAAUCUUAGUGUUUGGUAAGUACAGGACAUUUAAGCAACAAACACAACUACAGACAUUAGAAGUCAUCUGCUUCAGCAAGACUUUAAGCACUUCCUAUAUUCCAUGUUUUACACUUGAGGGUACAGUUAAGAAAAGUUAACUUACUGAGAAGUUUCUUUGAUCCUGAAACUAUAUUCACCUGAUACAGGAAACCAGUCUUCUUCAAAGGUGAUGAGAAUGCCUUGACAAGAUGAUAGGGACCAGCACUGUACAUUUGUUCCCAAGGGAAUACUGCAACAUGCAGGCACAGCCCUUGGUCACCUAAUGAAGGAGCCUCAUGUUGCAGCACAGAAGAUUUUUCAUCGUUGGAAGUUAAGGUUAGUUCACCUUCAUUGAUUCCUCCCUACACUGGACUAAAGCAUUUAAUCUAGAAACACUUAGGUCUCUAUAUAGCUUGUCAUAAUCUCUAUGCAUAGAAAGGGGCUUUCUAGAACCUGUCAGCAUAUUGUGAAAUAUCUCCUAUAUCAACUGAUAAUAAGAAAUCAGAAUUGCUUAAUUGUGGCAUUAAUAAAGUAUCACCUAGAUUGAACUAAGCAGGAAAAUUUUAGAUGAGAGUUUACCAUCACAAGCAAUAAACACACAACAGUCCCUGAAUCCUAAAAAGGUGGAGUUCUUGAUGGUAUUAGUGCGUAUCUUCAAAUUAUUUGCUCUCUGGAAAGAUGCUGAUAAAAUUUUGUCCACUACCAUAGUAUCCCUGCUGGAUGGGAACCAUAUCUUUACAAUAGACUCUCCACCCAUUGGCAAGGUGAUAGCUGUAAGGACAGUCACCUUGCAAGUGGGCAUGAAGC
rnacentral:lncRNA from 1 species